UACGUAGGCAGCAAGCGUUGUUCGGAAUUACUGGGCGUAAAGCGCAUGUAGGCGGCAACGCAAGUCGGGCGUGAAAUCCCACGGCUCAACCGUGGAAGUGCACUCGAAACUGCGUAGCUAGAGUCCUGGAGAGGAAGGUGGAAUGCUUGGUGUAGAGGUGAAAUUCGUAGAUAUCAAGCGGAACACCGGUGGCGAAGGCGGCCUUCUGGACAGUGACUGACGCUGAGAUGCGAAAGCGUGGGGAGCAAACAGG
rnacentral:rRNA from 1 species